GACGAACGCUGGCGGCGUGCUUAACACAUGCAGGUCGAACGGAAAGGCCCUGCUUUUGUGGGGUGCUCGAGUGGCGAACGGGUGAGUAACACGUGAGUAACCUGCCCUUGACUUUGGGAUAACUUCAGGUAACUGGGGCUAAUACCGGAUAGGAGCUCCUGCUGCAUGGUGGGGGUUGGAAAGUUUCGGCGGUUGGGGAUGGACUCGCGGCUUAUCAGCUUGUUGGUGGGGUAGUGGCUUACCAAGGCUUUGACGGGUAGCCGGCCUGAGAGGGUGACCGGCCACAUUGGGACUGAGAUACGGCCCAGACUCCUACGGGAGGCAGCAGUGGGGAAUAUUGCACAAUGGGCGGAAGCCUGAUGCAGCAACGCCGCGUGCGGGAUGACGGCCUUCGGGUUGUAAACCGCUUUCGCCUGUGACGAAGCGUGAGUGACGGUAAUGGGUAAAGAAGCACCGGCUAACUACGUG
rnacentral:rRNA from 1 species